AUUGAACGCUGGCGGCAGGCCUAACACAUGCACGUCGAGCGAGCGGCGGACGGGUGAGUAAUGUCUGGGAAACUGCCUGAUGGAGGGGGAUAACAACUGGAAACGGUAGCUAAUACCGCAUACCAUCAGAUGUGCCCAGAUGGGAUUAGCUAGUAGGGGGGGUAAAGGCUCACCUAGGCGGCGAUCCCUAGCUGGUCGGAGAGGAUGACCCGCCACCCUGUAACUGAGACACGGUCCAGACUCCUACGGGAGGCAGCAGUGGGGAAUAUUGCACAAUGGGCGCAAGCCUGAUGCAGCCAUGCCGCGUGUGUGAAGAAGGCCUUCGGGUUGUAAAGCACUUUCAGCGGGGAGGCGUUACCCGCAGAAGAAGCACCGGCUAACUCCGUGCCAGCCGCCGCGGUAAUAC
rnacentral:rRNA from 1 species